rnacentral:rRNA from 1 species
AGUGAACGCUGGCGGUAGGCCUAACACAUGCAAGUCGAACGGCAGCACAGUAAGAGCUUGCUCUUACGGGUGGCGAGUGGCGGACGGGUGAGGAAUACAUCGGAAUCUACUUUUUCGUGGGGGUUAACGUAGGGAAACUUACGCUAAUACCGCAUACGACCUACGGGUGAAAGCAGGGGAUCUUCGGACCUUGCGCGAUUGAAUGAGCCGAUGUCGGGUUAGCUAGUUGGCGGGGUAAGGCCCACCAAGGCGACGAUCCGUAGCUGGUCUGAGAGGGUGAUCGGCCACACGGGAACUGAGACACGGUCCAGACUCGUACGGGAGGCAGCAGUGGGGAAUAUUGGACAAUGGGGGCAAGCCUGAUCCAGCCAUACCGCGUGGGUGAAGAAGGCCUUCGGGUUGUAAAGCCCUUUUGUUGGGAAAGAAAAGCAGCAGGUUAAUACCCCGCUGUUCUGACGGUACCCAAAGAAUAAGCACCGGCUAACUUCGUG